CACAGGCCUGGAGGCUCAGCAGCUCACUGUGCAGGAUGGCAACAGAGCAUCAGUCUUCCAGUUUACUGUUUCCAAAGAAAUGGACUGCUGCCAGGUCGGAGGUCAGUCCUUCCUGGUCUCUGUCGGCAAGAUGAGUCUUCUGCUGCAGUUCAAAAGUCCAACUGAUAUGAAGAACUUCC